UACGAAGGGAGCUAGCGUUGUUCGGAAUCACUGGGCGUAAAGCGCACGUAGGCGGACGUGUCAGUCAGGGGUGAAAUCCCGGAGCUCAACUUCGGAACUGCCUUUGAUACAGCACGUCUUGAGUCCGGAAGAGGUGGGUGGAAUUCCUAGUGUAGAGGUGAAAUUCGUAGAUAUUAGGAAGAACACCGGUGGCGAAGGCGGCCCACUGGACCGGUACUGACGCUGAGGCGCGAAAGCGUGGGGAGCAAACGGG
rnacentral:rRNA from 1 species